AGCUAGCUUCCAGUAUGACAUGGCCGUGCUUGCUGUGGAUGCUCUUGAUUUCCACUUCUCUUGGAGCCAGCAUGGCUCAGACAGUCUCUCAGCCUCAGCAGGAAAAGUCUGUGCAGGAGACAGAGUCCACAACCCUGGACUGCACCUAUGACACGAGUGCUACCAAUUACUACUUGUUCUGGUACAAACAGCAAGGAGGGCGGGUGACUCUCGUUAUUCGCCAAGAAGCUUACAAGCAACAUAAUGCAACGGAGAACCGCUUCUCUGUGAACUUCCAGAAAGCAGCUAAGUCCUUCAGCCUGGAGAUCUCAGACUCGCAGCUGGGGGAUGCUGCAAUGUAUUUCUGUGCACUCAUGGAGCGCCACAUCCUUGAGGCUUACUGUGCUACUGACAAACUCAUCUUUGGACAAGGAACCCAAUUGACUGUGGAACCAAAAAGCCAGCCUCCUGCCAAACCAUCUGUUUUCAUCAUGAAAAAUGGAACAAAUGUUGCUUGUCUGGUGAAGGAUUUCUACCCCAAAGAUGUGAAUAUAAGUCUCAGAUCAUCCAAGAAGAUAGCGGAAUUCGACCCUGCUAUAGUCAUCUCCCCCAGUGGGAAGUACAGUGCUGUCAAGCUUGGUCAGUAUGGAGAUUCAAAUUCAGUGACAUGUUCAGUUCAGCACAACAGUGAAACUGUGCACUCAACUGACUUUGAACCAUAUGCAAAGUCUUUCGAUAAUAUAAAACCAACAGAACCUGAAAAUGACACACAAAUUUCAGAGCCUUGCCAUGGCCCAAGAGUCACCAAGAAGGCAAACAUGAUGUCCCUCACCGUGCUGGGGCUCCGACUGCUGCUUGCCAAGAUCGUUGCCAUCAAUUUUCUCUUUACUGCCUCGUUAUUCUUUUAAGGUGGGCUGGCAUGAGGAGACUACAAUACCUGAAAGAAAUCAGAAGCUUAGAAAGAGGCUAUAUCCAAGGCUUCUAACUUCUCAGUGCUUCAAACUGACCCUUCACCACCACAUUUAAACAGCUGCUAACAAAACCAGCUUUACUGUGACAGCAACAAGCCUAGCUAAUCCUCUAGUCUAGAAGAAAAGCAAACGCCCUAGGGAGUGGAGUGUGCCCUGGUUUACAGGCUGCUUUAUGAAGGCAUGGAAAGCUACGAAAACAGAUCCAUUUUAUUUUGCCCCUAUAACUGCUAUACUUUUAAAAUGAUGUUUCGUCCUUCUUUAUUUACCCAGAACUAGAAAGUGGGGACCAGUAAAUCACCAGCGUCAUUAUCCAGGAGGAAAAUGGUCUUGGGAGAGAGAACCCAUAUCUUUUUAGCCAAACAUGGAAAGCGGCACUCAGCUCAUCCUUGGCCAGAAGCCCCUCCCUCCAGGCUUGUUUGGCCCAACCUCCGGAUUUACUCCAACAGCCAUACAGGAGAGUUUUCCUUGCAGCACUAGGGUGUGAACAAUUGUAGCACUUUCUGUUUCUCCUAAUACUUUACAAACAAGAUCACAUUUGGCUUCCUUAAUGCUCUCCAAGCGGACAAUAAAGCUUCUAAAAUCACUUCUAGUUAUUCUCCACUCUAUUGCCAGAGAUGAAAGUGAAAUACGGAAAGGAAGGGCACGCUUCUGUGAACUGACUUUGAGUGCACAAACAGACCAAGUCCCAGGCACAAUACAGAGUACAGAAUUAAUACCUGUGCCUGGCCUGCAAACGACUCACUGUGCAAGCGUUUUGGAAACAGGAAUAGGGAUGUCACCUCCUUCUCUUCCUGUGAAAACAGUACUUUCAUUGUGUUUGCCUGCCAGUCUGUGCCCAGGCUUUUGACAUCACUGGGCACAGAUCUUCUCCCCUCAGUCUUUGAUGCUCGUGCCCUUCUGCCAUCCUUCUCAGGCCUGCCUCUCUUGCAUUUAUUAAGCUUCUCACCUCUGGCUUCACUCAUUGUGAAGUGAUUGUGGGAGGGGGUGGGGGGGGUGCUCAGAGCUAUUAGUCUCCUGGAAGCCAGGCUGAGCAUGUCAGUCACACCACAGCUUCCUGUGCUUGGGGCCUUCCAUCCUGUCUAGGGAACUGGGCCCUCGUUUCCUGCUGCUAUUACAACAUCAAUGCCUUCAGUGUGAUGUUCAGCUCUGUUAAUCCCAGCGCAGCAGGGCCACGGCUCUAUCACACCCACUAAGGGUACCAGGCCCUAACAACUCAAUACCGUGGUUCCCUCAGUUCCUAUGAGAAGUAUAAAGCGGGGGUCAUGGUGUGACAUGUGAAAAAGCAAUUAUCACUGCCAAUUCCCUAGCUACCAUCAACCACAGCCUCCAAACCAAGGGAGGUAAUGAUGCUGUAAGUCACUAGGUUCAGGCAAAUCUAGAGAGAUAAGCCAGGUCUACCCAGGGAAAAGCAACCACAGCACCCCACAAGAAUGCCUAGUGCCAAAGCACUCACUUCUGCUACCUUGCUGUGACAUCGGAAUGCUAUUCUGAAGUUGUUAGAAAAGACCACAUUCUCUUUUCUUCAAGCAGAACAAAAACAUUUACCCAGCCUGCCCUCCCCUCCACCUG